GAGUUUGAUCGUGGCUCAGAUUGAACGCUGGCGGCAUGCCUUACACAUGCAAGUCGAACGGCAGCACGGGAGCUUGCUCCUGGUGGCGAGUGGCGAACGGGUGAGUAAUGCAUCGGAACGUAUCCUGGAGUGGGGGAUAACGUAGCGAAAGUUUACGCUAAUACCGCAUAUUCUGUGAGCAGGAAAGCGGGGGACCUUCGGGCCUCGCGCUCUUGGAGCGGCCGAUGUCGGAUUAGCUAGUUGGUGAGGUAAAGGCUCACCAAGGCGACGAUCCGUAGGCAGGUCUGAGAGGAUGAUCUGCCACACUGGAACUGAGACACGGUCCAGACUCCUACGGGAGGCAGCAGUGGGAAUUUUGGACAAUGGGGGCAACCCUGAUCCAGCCAUGCCGCGUGAGUGAAGAAGGCCUUCGGUUGUAAGUACGUCUUCGUCG
rnacentral:rRNA from 1 species